AAUAGAUACCCUGGUAGUCCACGCCGUAAACGAUGUCGACUUGGAGGUUGUUCCCUUGAGGAGUGGCUUCCGGAGCUAACGCGUUAAGUCGACCGCCUGGGGAGUACGGCCGCAAGGUUAAAACUCAAAUGAAUUGACGGGGGCCCGCACAAGCGGUGGAGCAUGUGGUUUAAUUCGAUGCAACGCGAAGAACCUUACCUACUCUUGACAUCCAGAGAACUUAGCAGAGAUGCUUUGGUGCCUUCGGGAACUCUGAGACAGGUGCUGCAUGGCUGUCGUCAGCUCGUGUUGUGAAAUGUUGGGUUAAGUCCCGCAACGAGCGCAACCCUUAUCCUUUGUUGCCAGCGGUCCGGCCGGGAACUCAAAGGAGACUGCCAGUGAUAAACUGGAGGAAGGUGGGGAUGACGUCAAGUCAUCAUGGCCCUUACGAGUAGGGCUACACACGUGCUACAAUGGCGCAUACAAAGAGAAGCGACCUCGCGAGAGCAAGCGGACCUCAUAAAGUGCGUCGUAGUCCGGA
rnacentral:rRNA from 1 species